rnacentral:rRNA from 9 species
AAAUUGAAGAGUUUGAUCAUGGCUCAGAUUGAACGCUGGCGGCAGGCCUAACACAUGCAAGUCGAACGGUAACAGGAAGCAGCUUGCUGCUUUGCUGACGAGUGGCGGACGGGUGAGUAAUGUCUGGGAAACUGCCUGAUGGAGGGGGAUAACUACUGGAAACGGUGGCUAAUACCGCAUAACGUCGCAAGACCAAA